rnacentral:rRNA from 1 species
UGGGGAAUAUUGGACAAUGGGCGAAAGCCUGAUCCAGCCAUGCCGCGUGUGUGAAGAAGGUCUUCGGAUUGUAAAGCACUUUAAGUUGGGAGGAAGGGCAGUAAGCGAAUACCUUGCUGUUUUGACGUUACCGACAGAAUAAGCACCGGCUAACUCUGUGCCAGCAGCCGCGGUAAUACAGAGGGUGCAAGCGUUAAUCGGAAUUACUGGGCGUAAAGCGCGCGUAGGUGGUUCGUUAAGUUGAAUGUGAGAGCCCCGGGCUCAACCUGGGAACUGCAUCCAAAACUGGCGAGCUAGAGUAGGGCAGAGGGUAGUGGAAUUUCCUGUGUAGCGGUGAAAUGCGUAGAUAUAGGAAGGAACACCAGUGGCGAAGGCGACCACCUGGGCUCAUACUGACACUGAGGUGCGAAAGCGUGGGGAGCAAACAGG